rnacentral:rRNA from 1 species
AUUGAACGCUGGCGGCAUGCCUUACACAUGCAAGUCGAACGGCAGCACGGGAGCAAUCCUGGUGGCGAGUGGCGAACGGGUGAGUAAAGUAUCGGAACGUGCCCAGUCGUGGGGGAUAACGUAGCGAAAGUUACGCUAAUACCGCAUACGAUCUAUGGAUGAAAGCGGGGGAUCGCAAGACCUCGCGCGAUUGGAGCGGCCGAUAUCAGAUUAGGUAGUUGGUGGGGUAAAGGCUCACCAAGCGGACGAUCUGUAGCUGGUCUGAGAGGACGACCAGCCACACUGGGACUGAGACACGGACCAGACUCCUACGGGAGGCAGCAGUGGGGAAUUUUGGACAAUGGGCGAAAGCCUGAUCCAGCCAUGCCGCGUGCAGGAUGAAGGCCUUCGGGUUGUAAACUGCUUUUGUACGGAACGAAAAGGUUUGGCCUAAUAAGCUGAGCUCAUGACGGUACCGUAAGAAUAAGCACCGGCUAACUACGUGCCAGCAGCCGCCGUAA